GCAAGUCGAACGGCAGCACGAGAGCUUGCUCUUGGUGGCGAGUGGCGAACGGGUGAGUAAUAUAUCGGAACGUAUCCAAUAAUGGGGGAUAACUAAUCGAAAGGUUAGCUAAUACCGCAUACGCCCUACUGGGGAAAGCAGGGGAUCUUCGGACCUUGCGUUAAUGGAGCGGCUGAUAUCUGAUUAGCUAGUAGGUGAGGUAAAGGCUCACCUAGGCUUCGAUCAGUAGCUGGUCUGAGAGGACGACC
rnacentral:rRNA from 1 species